UACGUAGGGUCCGAGCGUUAAUCGGAAUUACUGGGCGUAAAGCGUGCGCAGGCGGUUCGCAAAGACAGGUGUGAAAUCCCCGGGCUUAACCUGGGAACUGCGCUUGUAACUAGCGGGCUAGAGUGCGGCAGAGGGGGGUGGAAUUCCACGUGUAGCAGUGAAAUGCGUAGAUAUGUGGAGGACACCGAAUGGCGAAGGCAGCCCCCUGGGUCGACACCUGGACGCUCAUGCACAAAAGCGUGGGGAGCCAAACAAGG
rnacentral:rRNA from 1 species